rnacentral:rRNA from 1 species
UACACUCCUGCGGGAGGCAGCAGUGGGGAAUUUUGGACAAUGGGCGAAAGCCUGAUCCAGCAAUGCCGCGUGAGUGAAGAAGGCCUUCGGGUUGUAAAGCUCUUUUGUCAGGGAAGAAACGGUGAGAGCUAAUAUCUCUUGCUAAUGACGGUACCUGAAGAAUAAGCACCGGCUAACUACGUGCCAGCAGCCGCGGUAAUACGUAGGGUGCAAGCGUUAAUCGGAAUUACUGGGCGUAAAGCGUGCGCAGGCGGUUUUGUAAGUCUGAUGUGAAAUCCCCGGGCUCAACCUGGGAAUUGCAUUGGAGACUGCAAGGCUAGAAUCUGGCAGAGGGGGGUAGAAUUCCACGUGUAGCAGUGAAAUGCGUAGAUAUGUGGAGGAACACCGAUGGCGAAGGCAGCCCCCUGGGUCAAGAUUGACGCUCAUGCACGAAAGCGUGGGGAGCAAACAGGAUUAGAUACCCGAGUAGUCCC